GUCAGUCAGGAGUCUAGCCAUGGCUUACCUGGGCCCUCUUCUCUGGGUUCCACAAGGCUGGACUCAAGAGUCAGCCUGCCUGUGUUCUCAUCUGGGAGUCUGGAGAAGAAUCAGCUUCCAACCUUACUCAGGUUGUUGGAAGAAUUUAUUUUCUUAGGUUGUGGAAUAUAGGGCUUUUAUUCCUUGCUGGCUGUUGGCUUGAGGCUGCCCACUUAAAGAAAACCUUUCCACCUGGCUUAAUUCAUCAAGCCAGCAAGCAAAAAAUCCUAGGGAGACAGAGCCUUAUAUAAAGUGACGUAAUAAAAUCACAAACGUGACAUUCUAACAAAACAUACUCAAGGAUGUGACUCACACACCUUUGCCACCUUCCAUUGUGACUCAUUUAUUCAUAAGCUUGGGACUCACACAUCACCAAUGAGAACUGAGAGGAUGUCUUACGUUUCCUUCCAUCUACAGGGCAGGUGCAGAGGAUCCAGCAUGUUAUUCUGAAACCCCAGAAGACGCUGCAGCUACCAAAUAGAAGGAGCCUGGAUCCCUGAAUGUCUUCAUGGAACAGAACAUUCUCCUCACUCCAGUCUGUUUGAACCAGAAUAUGACCUGAGCAAGAAAUAAGCCUUAAUUAUAUUUG
rnacentral:lncRNA from 1 species